rnacentral:lncRNA from 1 species
CCUUAAUUUCCGGUAGAUUGCAAAUAACCUGCUUUCUUUCUGUUCCCGAGCUGCGUUCGGACCCGUCGGAUCGUAAAUCCCACAUAAGGUACCUGCCGUCAGAAGAUUUGAACUCUCUACUUGGACACCUAAUACCCACAGUCCUCCAGCUCCGGUAGAUUGCAAAUAACCUGCUUUCUUUCUGUUCCCGAGCUGCGUUCGGACCCGUCGGAUCGUAAAUCCCAUGUAAGGUACCUGCCGUCGGAAGAUUUGAUCUUUCUACUUGGACACCUAAUACCCACAGUCCUCCAGCUCCGGUAGAUUGCAAAUAACCUGCUUUCUUUCUGUUCCUGAGCUGCGUUCGGACCCCUGUCGUAUUGUAAAUCCCACGCAAGGUACCUGCCGUCGGAAGAUUUGAGCUUUCUUCUUGAACACCUCAUACCCACAGUCCUCCAGACAGAAGGACAACAGGUACAAAGUCCUAAGGAUUAUAAAGGUAUGCUGCUUGCCAUCAUCUUAGUGACCAAGGCAGCGAAGCUGUUUCUGUACCUUGGAACAGUCUUCCCUGACAAGCCAGAGAACAGCGAUAAAGCCACCAGCCUUGGGAUCAGGACUGAAAAGGCAAGAGUGAUGGAGAUUUCUCCUGCGCUAAGCCAAGAGAAGGUUUCAGCACCUCAGACAGCUCCCACCGAAGUAGCGGCGCUCCCAGCUGCUUGCAGAUGUGGAAAAGGAAAGCCUCGGUUUGUCUUGAGGUUGUCAGCAGUUGCAAGACACGUAAUAAAAUGCAAUGUGUUCCUAAUUCAUUGCAUAUCCUCAGCUUUAAAUUUGGGUAGCAAAAUGAUUACUCUAGAUUCUUCAGCCUUGCCUUGGCAAGUAUCUGUACCUAAAAAGCAGUUUUUCUACCUAAUCUCUUUUUUUGUUUUUGUUUUUCAAUACACUUUAAGCAAAUUGAAGCUUUUGUUCCUGGAGGAAAAGUGGUUUGAUAUGUUCAUCUAUCUUUUAGUAAAUUUGGGGGCAUAACUUUUCCUAUUCUGAGGAACUUUUCUAAGAAGAGUGCAUAAAAGUUUGUUGUUGUUUUUAAAGGAUGCAACAUUCA